UACGUAGGGGGCAAGCGUUGUCCGGAUUUAUUGGGCGUAAAGAGCGUGUAGGCGGCCAGAUAGGUCAGCUGUGAAAACUCGAGGCUCAACCUCGAGACGUCGGUUGAAACCAUCUGGCUAGAGUCCGGAAGAGGAGAGUGGAAUUCCCGGUGUAGCGGUGAAAUGCGCAGAUAUCGGGAAAAACACCCGUGGCGAAGGCGGCUCUCUGGGACGGUACUGACGCUGAGACGCGAAAGCGUGGGUAGCAAACAGG
rnacentral:rRNA from 1 species